GACGAACGCUGGCGGCGUGCUUAACACAUGCAAGUCGAACGAAGAGCGAUGGAAGCUUGCUUCUAUCAAUCUUAGUGGCGAACGGGUGAGUAACGCGUAAUCAACCUGCCCUUCAGAGGGGGACAACAGUUGGAAACGACUGCUAAUACCGCAUACGAUCUAAUCUCGGCAUCGAGGAUAGAUGAAAGGUGGCCUCUACAUGUAAGCUAUCACUGAAGGAGGGGAUUGCGUCUGAUUAGCUAGUUGGAGGGGUAACGGCCCACCAAGGCGAUGAUCAGUAGCCGGUCUGAGAGGAUGAACGGCCACAUUGGGACUGAGACACGGCCCAGACUCCUACGGGAGGCAGCAGUGGGGAAUCUUCCGCAAUGGACGAAAGUCUGACGGAGCAACGCCGCGUGAGUGAUGACGCCCUUCGGGUUGUAAAGCUCUGUUAAUCGGGACGAAAGGCCUUCUUGCGAAUAGUGAGAAG
rnacentral:rRNA from 1 species